rnacentral:lncRNA from 1 species
UCUAUAUCUAUAUCUAUAUCUAUAUCUAUAUCUAUAUCUAUAUCUAUAUCUAUAUCAUCUAUAUCUAUAUCUAUAUCUAUAUCUACUCACUAUAACUAUCUUUAAGUGGCUAAUAAAGCUGUGUGAAACUUGCUUCCCACUUGUUCUUUCAGAGAAGCUGUACAUUUUUUCUCAUCAAAACAAGAUGCUGCUGGCCAUUUCUCUGCUCUAGACUGGAAGUUAAUUCUCCUGGAGCAAUUGUGAACCAACUAAGUAUUGCAAAUAUGAUAGCUGUAAUAUAUAAUAGAUGGCUGACUGCCAGUCUUAAUACUCUUUUUGUUACUAACUGAAGUAUGUAAUUUACAUUCUAUUCUACUUUUUGCAGAAGUUGCACUCAGGUAUUUCUCAAAAGAUAUUUCCCCAUCAAGAAAUAAUUUUCUGAAUAUUAAUAAUGUUAAAAAGCCCUGCAGAACACUAGACAAGCUUUAUGGAAGGUUUAAUAACCACUUAAAAACAUAAUCUUUAGUUAAUUGUUUUAAGUAUAGGCCUGCCAAUCAAGAUACAAAAAUAUGCAUGGCUGCUAGCAAAUCACUGUAAGAAUUUUAACUUGAUGUUUGCACAAUUUGAGAGGAAAUCUGUGUUGAUACUGUGAAAGGUAGAGAAAAUUAUAGACAAAUAAUUUAAAGUUCCCUAUUUGAAAUAUGAUUUUAAAGUCAAUAUCUAUAUUCAUGACCUCAGAGCAAUGAGGAAAGGAAGUACAGGAAAAAUGCAAGAAGUUUGAUUCAGUAGAUACUUUACCUGCCAUGCAUCCUUGUGUGGGUGAGUUGUUGGCCUGGCACUGCAUAAUUCUAACAAGGAUGGUUGGGUUUUUUUCAGGAGUUGAACUUUAAUGAUUUUUAUGGGUCCCUUCCAACUCAGGAUAUUCUAUGAUUCUGCGAUUCUAUGAUUUACUUAUAGGGAUUUUAUUUAGUGGAUCCUAUAAUGGAUUUAUAAUUGAUUCAUUCUUGACUCCAUUUAUUUUCUUAAAGGAGGCUUUUGAAUGUCAGCAACAUUUGCCUGAAAUCAGGAAAGCCUGGCUUUCAGGAGCCCCAGAAAGUGAGUGGCAGAAAUCAUCUCUGUGGACACCUCUUAGAAGCAACUGUAUUCUUCUAGGACUUAAAGAAAAUGUCCUGUCAAUGUAA